GCUGCUGCUUAUUUGUGUACUCUCCUUAUUUCUUGGUGGGGAAUUUCAAUGUUUCAAAAGCAUAGAUGAACAGAUUGCCAGUAUUAAACAGUAGGGUGCUUUCUAUAUUGUUGCACCAGGUUAAUUGUGUCUCAGAAUACUU